rnacentral:lncRNA from 1 species
ACAUCUCUCCAAUCUUAUCUACAAAAUUUUUCAGAGUACAUGUUUAGGUUGCAUGUGGUCGUGUGAGAUAGAAAAUCUCAAGAUGAUCAUACUUAAUCUUUGGUAUCUUCUAAAACUCUUUUUCUUUUCUUUUGAAUUUAAAAAAAUAAUUAUAUUUUUUAUUAUAAAAAAUAAUUAUAUUUGAUGGAGACCUGAUAAUGUUAAUUGAAUAGGUGAAUAACAUAAGAAAAAGUAAGAAAGAAGAAAAAAAAAUCUCCUACCCUGAAAUAAUAAUUUAGUCAGGAUAAAAGAAUAGAUACUGUUGGUCUAAUUUACGUUAUUCUGGUGAAAAAUGAAACCAUUUGGUAGGCUAAAAAGAU